rnacentral:tRNA from 1 species
GCCUGGCUGGCUCAGUCAGUUAAGCAUCUGACUUCAGCUCAGGUGAUGAUCUCAUGGUUUGUGGGUUUAAGCCCCACAUCAGGCU